ACCGACCAACGGGACCCCGAACUUGAGCCAACGCGCACCGCGGGCGAAGGAGCGCCCAGAGGUGAGGAGGAACGCGGGCCCCGCGGAGCCCGGGCGAGCGAGCGGCAGCCGAUACCACGAAGUAUGUGGGUAAGUAGGCCCCCGACCUUCUGCUCGCCAAGCUGCUGCUGCUCCGCCUCCGCCGUCGACGCCGCCCGCGCGCUGGCUGCUCGCUCGCCCGCCCGCGCGUGGCCUGACGCGCGGGCGCCGCCGCUCGCGCUGCCAACACCUCGCUCCUGUAGCAUGCACGGAGGGGAAAUAGACCUUCCAAUAUAACGUUGGCCUUCCCGUUCCGCAAGGCCUAUGCACUGCUGUGACCCUUGUUCAUCACCGGCCGUCACCUGUUCACACGUGAUUUGUACCCACCCUUGGACCACUGUACCAUGUGACACCUCGCAUCAUUAUUCUUCAAUAAAGGAGUCAAGGCAUA